rnacentral:rRNA from 1 species
UACGGGGGGGGCAAGCGUUGUUCGGAAUUACUGGGCGUAAAGGCUCGUAGGCGGCCAACUAAGUCAGACGUGAAAUCCCUCGGCUUAACCGGGGAACUGCGUCUGAUACUGGAUGGCUUGAGUUUGGGAGAGGGAUGCGGAAUUCCAGGUGUAGCGGUGGAAAUGCGUAGAUAUCUGGAGGAACACCGGUGGCGAAGGCGGCAUCCUGGACCAACACUGACGCUGAGGAGCGAAAGCCAGGGGAGCAAACGGG